rnacentral:lncRNA from 1 species
UGUAAUAUGCCAUGCCACCAAUUAUAUGUACAGGGGGGUUAAGUGUAAUUUUCCAACCAAAAGCUAGGGAAAAGACUAAAUUACCCUCACUCUUAAACUCCUAUAGAUAGCAAGACUUCCUACUCAUUUUUUCCUCACCAAUUCACAAGUUUCCAAAUAGAAACACUAGAUUUUAUAUACGAGAGGAAGUGAGAGCUCGGGUUUUGUACGAGGAAAGGCGAG